rnacentral:pre_miRNA from 1 species
GUAGUACUCCCUCCGUCCGGAAAUACUUGUCAUCAAAAUGAAUAAAAAGGGUUGUAUCUAGAUGUAUAGUAGUUCUAGAUACAUCUUUUUUAUCCAUUUUGAUGACAAGUAUUUUCGGACGGAGGGAGUACUUG